UUCAAAUCAUAAACCUUAGAUGCAAUCCAAUUAUGUGACCUAACUUUUGAUUUUUUUCAUAACUAAAACCCUCAUGCAUAAACACAAAUUUUAGAUUUCAAUACUAAAUUUUAGAUCUAAAUUCUUUACAUAAAAGGUAAGUUUUAAAUCAUAAAAUAAUUUUUAGAUUUAACAUACAAACAUAUAUCUCAUAUAUGCAAGUAUCUGACCUCUAUGGGUAUCCACUC
rnacentral:lncRNA from 1 species